rnacentral:rRNA from 1 species
GCCUACGAUCAUACCACCAUGAAUACGCCUGAUCUCGUCCGAUCUUGGACGCUUCGCAUGUUCGGGCCUGGUUAGUACCUCGAUGGGAGACCGCCUGGGAACAUCGGGUGUUGUAGGCU